AACAAAGCUAGCAACUCAUGAAGCAACCAAAAACAGCAAGUUGUUUGGUCCUGUACAGCAUAAUCAAGGCCCAAUUUCGUGGCAUAGCAUACACCUCCUUCCUCACUUAUACACAAAAUUAGCAAUUGGCAUUUUGGUUCAUAAAAUUAACUUGGAUUAGCAUGUGAUAAUGUGAGCUUAAACAGACCUUUAUAAACAUUUUCUCAGCUCUUCCAACCCGAGCAAGCUGCAGCCACACGACCAAAU
rnacentral:lncRNA from 1 species